rnacentral:rRNA from 1 species
AUUGAACGCUGGCGGCAGGCCUAACACUUGCAAGUCGAACGAGUGGCGGACGGGUGAGUAAUGCCUGGGAAACUGCCUGAUGGAGGGGGAUAGCUACUGGAAACGGUAGCUCAUACCGCAUAACAUCAGAUGUGCCCAGAUGGGAUUGGCUAGUUGGUGGGGUAACGGCUCACCAAGGCGACGAUCCCUAGCUGGUCUGAGAGGAUGACCAGCCACACUGGAACUGAGACACGGUCCAGACUCCUACGGGAGGCAGCAGUGGGGAAUAUUGCACAAUGGUCGCAAGCCUGAUGCAGCCAUGCCGCGUGUAUGAAGAAGGCAUUCGGGUUGUAAAGUGCUUUCAGCGGGGAGGCGUUACCCACAGAAGAAGCAACGGCUAACUCCGUGCCAGCAGCCGCGGUAAUAC